rnacentral:rRNA from 1 species
GAACGCUGGCGGCAUGCUUUACACAUGCAAGUCGAACGGUAACAGGUCUUCGGAUGCUGACGAGUGGCGAACGGGUGAGUAAUGCAUCGGAACGUGCCCAGUCGUGGGGGAUAACGCAGCGAAAGCUGUGCUAAUACCGCAUACGAUCUAUGGAUGAAAGCGGGGGAUCGCAAGACCUCGCGCGAUUGGAGCGGCCGAUGUCAGAUUAGCUAGUUGGUGGGGUAAAGGCCCACCAAGGCGACGAUCUGUAGCUGGUCUGAGAGGACGACCAGCCACACUGGGACUGAGACACGGCCCAGACUCCUACGGGAGGCAGCAGUGGGGAAUUUUGGACAAUGGGCGCAAGCCUGAUCCAGCAAUGCCGCGUGCAGGAAGAAGGCCUUCGGGUUGUAAACUGCUUUUGUACGGAACGAAAAGGUCUGGGUUAAUACCCUGGGCUCAUGACGGUACCGUAAGAAUAAGCACCGGCUAACUACGUG